rnacentral:rRNA from 1 species
CCUACGGGCGGCAGCAGUGAGGAAUAUUGGUCAAUGGACGAGAGUCUGAACCAGCCAAGUAGCGUGAAGGAUGACUGCCCUAUGGGUUGUAAACUUCUUUUAUAAAGGAAUAAAACGAGGCACGUGUGCCUUUUUGCAUGUACUUUAUGAAUAAGGAUCGGCUAACUCCGUGCCAGCAGCCGCGGUAAUACGGAGGAUCCGAGCGUUAUCCGGAUUUAUUGGGUUUAAAGGGAGCGUAGAUGGGUUGUUAAGUCAGUUGUGAAAGGUUGCGGCUCAACCGUAAAAUUGCAAUUGAUACUGGCAGUCUUGAGUACAGGUGAGGUAGGCGGAAUGCGUGGUGUAGCGGUGAAAUGCUUAGAUAUCACGAAGAACCCCGAUUGCGAAGGCAGCUUACUAAACUGUGACUGACAUUGAUGCUCGAAAGUGUGGGUAUCAAACAGGAUUAGAUACCCGAGUAGUC